rnacentral:rRNA from 1 species
CGCACUAGUCACUUUGUCUCUAUGGCAAAUGUGAGAUGCAGUGUAUGGAGUGUCGAAUAUCUAGUAUGAGAAAUUAACGAUUUAAGUCCUUCUUAAAUGAGGCCAUUUACCCAUAGAGGGUGCCAGGCCCGUAUAACGUUAAUGAUUACUAGACGGCAUUUCCAAAGAGUCGUGUUGCUUGAUAGUGCAGCACUAAGUGGGUGGUAAACUCCAUCUAAAACUAAAUAUAACCAUGAGACCGAUAGUAAACAAGUACCGUGAGGGAAAGUUGAAAAGAACUCUGAAUAGAGAGUUAAAUAGUACGUGAAACUGCUUAGAGGUUAAGCCCGAUGAACCUGAAUAUCCAUUAUAGAAAAUUCAUCAUUAUGAUUUUAAUAUUUAACCAAUAUUAUAAUAAUGGUGUGCAUUUUUUCUAUAUAAGGACAUUGUAAUCUAUUAACAUUUAAUAAAUAUUUAUCAAAAGAUCAUUUGCAAAGGUUUAUUCAAAUUAUUUUGCUUGCAAUUUAACAUAGAUUAAAUGCUUAUGAUUUGAUAAAGUGUUGAUAGAUUUAUAAUAUAUAGUGCUUGAAUAUUUAUAUUCUAUAAUAGCAUAUUAAUUAUUAAUUUUUAUGUUUAUUAUAUGCACUUAUAUGAUUAACAAUGCGAAAGAUUCAGGAUACCUUCGGGACCCGUCUUGAAACACGGACCAAGGAGUCUAACAUAUUUGCAAGUUAUUGGGAAUUAAAACCUAAUAGCGAAAUUAACAUAACUAUUAUAUAAUGGGAUUAGUUUUUAGCCUAUAUUUAUAGUCUAUUAAUUCAAUCCCGGGGCGUUCUAUACGGUUAUGUAUAAUAGUAUUUAUAUUAUUUAUACCUCUAACCAGAGCGUACCUUGAGCAUAUAUGCUGUGACCCGAAAGAUGGUGAACUAUACUUGAUCAGGUUGAAGUCAGGGGAAACCCUGAUGGAAGACCGAAACAGUUCUGACGUGCAAAUCGAUUGUCAGAAUUGAGUAUAGGGGCGAAAGACCAAUCGAACCAUCUAGUAGCUGGUUCCCUCCGAAGUUUCCCUCAGGAUAGCUGGUGCAUUUAAAAAUUAUGUAAAAUAAUCUUAUCUGGUAAAGCGAAUGAUUAGAGGCCUUAGGGUCGAAACGAUCUUAACCUAUUCUCAAACUUUAAAUGGGUAAGAACCUCACCUUUCUUGGUAUGAAGGUCGUGGUUGUGAUAUAAUGUGCCCAGUGGGCCACUUUUGGUAAGCAGAACUGGCGCUGUGGGAUGAACCAAACGUAAUGUUACGGUGCCCAAAUUAACAACUCAUACAGAUACCAUGAAAGGCGUUGGUUGCUUAAAA